rnacentral:rRNA from 1 species
AGAGUUUGAUCCUGGCUCAGGAUGAACGCUGGCGGCGUGCCUAAUACAUGCAAGUCGAACGAGGUGCUUUUGUAGCAAUACGAGAGUAUCCUAGUGGCGAACGGGUGAGUAACGCGUUGGUGACCUACCCCAAAGUGUGGGAUAACAGUCCGAAAGGAUUGCUAAUACCGCAUGUGGUCAUUGGAUUUAGAAACUGAUGACUAAAGGAGCAAUUCGCUUUGGGAGGGACCUGCGUCCCAUCAGCUAGUUGGUGAGGUAAUGGCUCACCAAGGCGACGACGGGUAGGGGACCUGAGAGGGUGGCCCCCCACAAUGGAACUGAAACACGGUCCAUACACCUACGGGUGGCAGCAGUAGGGAAUAUUGCACAAUGGGCGAAAGCCUGAUGCAGCAACGCCGCGUGUGUGAUGAAGGCCUUCGGGUCGUAAAGCACUUUUCUGGGAGAUGAGAAAGGACAGUAUCCCAGGAAUAAGUCUCGGCUAACUACGUGCCAGCAGCCGCGGUAAAACGUAGGAGGCGAGCGUUAUCCGGAUUCACUGGGCGUAAAGCGCGUGCAGGUGGCGCGGUAAGUUGGGCGUGAAAUCUCCCGGCUCAACUGGGAGAGGUCGUUCAAUACUACCGUGCUUGAGAGCAGAAGAGGAAGAUGGAAUUCCCGGUGUAGUGGUGAAAUGCGUAGAUAUCGGGAGGAACACCAGUGGCGAAAGCGAUCUUCUGGUCUGUUUCUGACACUCAGACGCGACAGCUAGGGUAGUAAACGGGAUUAGAGACCCCGGUAAUCCUAGCCGUAAACGAUGUGGACUUGGCGUUGGUGGGUUAAACUCCAUCAGUGCCGUAGCAAACGCGAUAAGUUCACCGCCUGGGGACUACGGCCGCAAGGUUAAAACUCAAAGGAAUGACGGAAGGCGAAUCGCGCGCACCCAA